GCCGUUAUAACUCAAUUGGUAGAGUACCCGACUCGUAAUCUGGAAUGUUUCGGUUCAAAUCCGUCUGACGGCU
rnacentral:tRNA from 1 species